rnacentral:rRNA from 1 species
GUAGGUGGCAAGCGUUGUCCGGAUUUAUUGGGUUUAAAGGGUGCGUAGGCGGUCUAUUAAGUCAGUGGUGAAAUAUGGCAGCUUAACUGUCAGGGUGCCAUUGAUACUGAUGGACUUGAGUGAAGUCGAAGUAGGCGGAAUUGACGGUGUAGCGGUGAAAUGCUUAGAUAUCGUCAAGAACACCGAUAGUGAAGACAGCUUACUAGGCUUAUACUGACGCUGAGGCACGAAAGUGUGGGGAUCAAACAGGAUUAGAUACCCUGGUAGUCCACACUGUAAACGUUGAUGACUCGCUGUUGGCGAUAUACAGCCAGCGGCCAAGCGCAAGCGAUAAGUCAUCCACCUGGGGAGUACGCCGGCAACGGUGAA